GUGGGUCAACCUUUUUGGGCGGAGGAGGGUCCGCCUUUUUGGGCGGAGGUGGGUCCGCCUUUUUGGGCGGAGGUGGAUCGGCUGCCUUUUGGGGCGGAGGAGGGUCGGCGGCUUUACUGGGUGGUGGUGUGUCGGCCUUUUUGGGGGGUGGGGGAUCGGCUUUUUUGGGAGGCGGAGGAUCAACCUUUUGAGGUGGGGGUGGAUCAGGUUUUUUGGAAGGGGGAGGAUCGACUUUUUUGGGUGGUGGAGGAUCGGCGGGCUUGGGCGGAGGAGGCUUGGGAGGUUCAGGCUCUUUGAUUUCAAUGCUUUUAAUAACCCCACAUCCCUUACAACAAAUUUUAUCUCUAAGCUUCUCAGGAUUGCAACAAACCACCUUGAUAAUCACAAGGUUUUGCUUUUCAUCAUAAAUCUGGUCUCGAAUUU
rnacentral:lncRNA from 1 species